rfam:Equus caballus chromosome 18, whole genome shotgun sequence.
GGUGGCUUGCCCGCGUGCCGGGGGCUCUGGCGCCAGUGGCACGUGUGCUGGGAGCGCCUGAGCCGUGGUGGCCGCA